rnacentral:rRNA from 1 species
GCAUGCCUACAACAUAGUGUUAGUGCAUCAGAUCCCAUUAGAACUCUGUAGUUAAACAUGUUUGGCCUAGAUUAGUACUGCGAUGAUUGAUCACCCGGGAAGUCCUAGUGUUUUACAUGCC